CCUCUCGAUCCACCCCUCCCGCCGGGGCCUUUCUCUCUUUCCCUCCUCCCCCGCUCCACCGCCGUCGGCCCAUCUCCCGCCCCGUCGCCGCCGCCCCAUCUCCCACCCCGCCGCCGCCGCCCCAUAUCCCGCUCUGCCACCGCCCCUACUGCUCCACCGAACCGACCUCUUCUUCGAGCAUGAGCCGCUCCUCUCCCUGACACCCUCGUACUCACUAGGGUUUCGUGCGCCGCCGCCGCCGCCGGUCCUCUCCAACACUGCGACGGGCUUCACGGCCUACUUCGACCUCGGGCCUUAAUGCUUCCUCUGCUUCUGUGUCGACCUGCUAUUCAGCGAGGAGGACGUACAUCAGGCAGCGGGUGACGCGCGGUGGCUGCGCAAAUUCCUCUGCGGCGGAGAUCUCCAGGAUGGGUGCUUGUCUUCUCAGAAGAAGGAGAUGAUGAAGGAUGCAGAGAAGGAAGGCAACGUGGAAGGCAACGUGGUGUGUUCUUGAUGAUGAUCGAAGAAGAUCUGCUGGCUGCUGUUCAAGGGACGAUAGCCAAAGAAGAAGAAGAUGAUUGCUAUGUUCUGAGAAAUCAGGAUUCUGGAAGACCACGAAGAGGAAUAAGACAAGCAGGCACAUGUGUACCGUCACGAGCAGCAAAACGAAGAGUAAACCCAAGAAUAUCAAGGGGGGAUUAUGUUGGCUGCCGUGGAGGACGAGAUGCAAGGGUGCUCCGGCAGCGGCUGCAGCAGCGUGACAGAUCAAGCGAGCUAGGUUGUGCCAUCUCUGGUCCUCUCUCUUCAAACGGUCGACACCGGGUGCUUACGAUCGACGUGACGGCGGCGGUGCAAGAGCAUGGCAUAGCUGGUCUGAGAGUGGCGAUGGACUCACUGCCCGCUGCUACUAUAUCAUCCAAAGUAGUGGCAGGGCGCAGCGGCACGAACGGCUCAGCCUCUGCCUUGUUCAUCCCAUUACAACGGAGGCGCUUUAAUUACUGACACAUAUGUUCUUAUUAUGCAACUGCAGGUGAUUUCUCAUCUUUCAACUCGGUCUAUUUUACUUGUCAUACAUGGAGAGAGUUUAUACAAUGUUAGAUGAAGAGUUGGCGGUGCCACGGUGCCAAGAUGAGCCGGUCAUUCAUCAGUUGGAAUCCGCGCCAAAGAGUUUCAGUGGUGUUGAUGUUCGCCAGUAGUCCAGUACAUCGAGUAUAGAACAACCAUGUAUGCUGCAGGUGGUUACGGCGUAUAGCGGAUCUGACAGAACUAUUUUGAAUCUCGGUGGCUCUGUAUCAGGGUCUUCCUGUACUGAUGGUUGAAAGAUUUCCAUGUGAAUUGCCUGAGAUGGUUAGUGAUAGUGAAAGUUAUGAUGACAGAUAAUUACUCCUCCAAGAAGAAGAAUCAGAAGAGCUGGCUAUUUGUGGGCCUUUUUCGUCAGUGGUAAGGUGACAUGGGCCGCGUUUGUUAGUGGCUAAGGAAAGGCGGUUCGAGCCUGACGUGGUCGUCGAUGAGGAGCUUUUGGAUGUCACCGGCGCCGGCAAUCCUCGAGGGCAAAGGCUGCGACAAGCGGCGGCGGCGGUGCUUGGGCAGCAACAAUCUGAGCAUGAUGAGGUCGAAGGCGUCGUAGUGGUGCAUUGGAGCUGGAGGAGGAGGCGGGCCAGUGCUGUUUGUGCUCAAGACGUACGAGAUGGUGGACAGCCCAUCGACGGAAGCAGUGGUCUGGUGGAGUGAUGCGUUGGACACAACCUUCGUGGUUUGGUGCUCGCUGGAGUUUGCAUCUUCAAGCACAUAAUUUUCUCCAGUUUCAUCCAUGAGCUCCCCCCACCCCCUCUCUUACUGAAUCCCUACGCACCCCAAGCAAUCUCGGUCAAGUUUGUGCGGAUUUGGGGUUUAAGAUCUGUGCAUGUGCGGGGAAUUUAUUAGUAGGAGUUGGUCUGGGUUUUAUUUGUCAGAUUUACUGGAGAAUUUGGCAUUAGAUUUUGAUCUUGGGUGGGGGCGAGGGUCCUCAAAUGUCUACACUAUUGUGGUGAAAUGCUACUCCAUUUUUACUAAAAAUCAUUUAGGAUGCUGAUUUUCUUAGUUGGUCUUGAUUGCAGUUAAAUGCCAAAAAUCAGGACUCGGUAUGGUGCCAAAAUAUGUUCAUAAUUUUGUGCGCUGGGCUGGUGGGAUGCUAUGUGAAUCACUACAUUCUUACUCCUUUGGUUCGCCGGGGGUUCGGAUUGCAUUGACCACAUUCAGAUUUUUCCUAGAGAUUCGGGCUGGCAACCAAAGAUGUCCAGCCUUGAUGGCUUGUGAUAUAUUAUCAUGUUUAGGAUAGACGAAAAUGAGAUUGCAAAGGAACGAAGAGCUCAAGAUUUUGUUUUGUUCAUGAAGAUGCAUAAUCAAGAGGAACCACAAGGAUUCCUAAGAGCAGAGGUGCAGCAACAUCACUUAACCUUUUCAUGUUACUCUAGAUGAUUUAUCAUCCUUGCUUGCCCCUCCUGACAAGGAUUCAUAUCAAGAGUUCAAUACUUGUUGGGGGUUCCUCGCAAUGCACGCACAGAGAGGCAUAACUUCUUUGCUUCCCCCAUCAUCUCUGCAAUAAUAUGGCGUGCAUGUGCAAAAAGAAGGAUCUGAUGGUCUACUAAGGGCUUAUAGGAAUGAAGAGCGGCUUAUCUUCUUUACGUGUUUAUCUGGUAAAUAUUCAUCUGUCAGGCAAUACAAAUCAUAUGGUUACAAGUUCAACAACAGCAUGGGGAGCGCUGGCGUGGUAGUCCGGCGGUAGAGGGAUGGCUGGGCAGCAGCCUACCGAGGAGUUGGAGGGAGGGCUUGAUUGGACCACAUCUGUCCAUGAGGGCUCGUUGGUGGGCUAAUCAAGAAGGGGGGAGGGGCUGGGUGUAUCUGUGUUGCGCGGUUCCGGCUGGUGUGCUCCUCGGCGGCGUCCUGGACAGGUGGAUGUGUGGGCGGCUGCGUGUGUGCGUGUGCUUUGGCGGUGCGUGGUGAGGUAGUGGGGUGGCCAGCGCGGUGCCCUGGUGAGCAGGUGGUUAGAUCCGGACGGAUUUGGCCAUGGUGGCUCGACGUUGGACUUGCUGGUGCAUGUAUGGUUUAUAAUCUGUCCGGACGGAAGAUUGUAGUUUGUGUAUAGUUUAUAAUCUGAGGAAAUGUUUGCCGUCUGUGUUAACCUUCAGUCUUGUACUGCUGAAGAUUGUAGUUUGUGUUGUAUCAUAUGUGGACAUGUUCUUUACUUCAAUGGA